CUCCAACUCCUAAGGGCCUGUUUGGCACAGCUCUAGCUCCAGCUCCAUCCCUCCUAGAGCUGGGUGGAGCUCUCUCACAAAAUGAACUAGAGUUGUGGAGCUAGGUUUAGGCAGCUCCACAACUCCACUCUAGACCCAACUCCUAUAGCAAAAUUUAGGAGUUGGAGCUGUACCAAACAGGCCCUAAAUUUAGCUCCAGAAGUUAGGUCUGGAGUGGAGUUGUGGAGCUGCCUAAACCCAGCUCCACCAGUCUAGUUCAUUUUGUGAGAGAGCUCCACCUAGCUCGCUCCUAUUUUUGAUGGAGCUGAAACUGUUUGGCUAAGCUCUGUGCCAAACAGGCCCUUAGUUACUUGGUC
rnacentral:misc_RNA from 1 species